rnacentral:rRNA from 1 species
UACGGAGGGUGCAAGCGUUAUCCGGAUUCACUGGGUUUAAAGGGUGCGUAGGUGGGCAGGUAAGUCAGUGGUGAAAUCUCCGGGCUUAACCCGGAAACUGCCAUUGAUACUAUUUGUCUUGAAUACCGUGGAGGUCAGCGGAAUAUGUCAUGUAGCGGUGAAAUGCUUAGAUAUGACAUAGAACACCAAUUGCGAAGGCAGCUGGCUACACGAAUAUUGACACUGAUGCACGAAAGCGUGGGGAUCAGACAGG